rnacentral:rRNA from 1 species
CCUACGGGUGGCAGCAGUGGGGAAUAUUGGACAAUGGGGGCAACCCUGAUCCAGCCAUGCCGCGUGUGUGAAGAAGGCCCUCGGGUUGUAAAGCACUUUCAGUGAGGAAGAACGCCUGGUGGUUAAUACCCAUCAGGAAAGACAUCACUCACAGAAGAAGCACCGGCUAACUCCGUGCCAGCAGCCGCGGUAAUACGGAGGGUGCGAGCGUUAAUCGGAAUUACUGGGCGUAAAGUGCGCGUAGGUGGCUUGAUAAGCCGGUUGUGAAAGCCCCGGGCUCAACCUGGGAACGGCAUCCGGAACUGUCAAGCUAGAGUGCAGGAGAGGAAGGUAGAAUUCCCGGUGUAGCGGUGAAAUGCGUAGAGAUCGGGAGGAAUACCAGUGGCGAAGGCGGCCUUCUGGACUGACACUGACACUGAGGUGCGAAAGCGUGGGUAGCAAACAGGAUUAGAUACCCGAGUAGUC